CUUGGUCAUUUAGAGGAAGUAAAAGUCGUAACAAGGUUUCCGUAGGUGAACCUGCGGAAGGAUCAUUACCGAGUUAGGGUCUUCCUAGGCCCGACCUCCCAACCCUAUGUUUACUGAACCCCAUGUUGCUUCGGCGGGACCGUCUCACGACCGCCGGAGGGCCGUAAGACGUCCUCUGGCCCGCGCCCGCCGGUGGCCAAACUUAACAAACUCUGAUAGAAUCGUGUCACUGUCUGAGUACUAUUUUCAAUUAAAAAACAAAAACUUUCAACAACGGAUCUCUUGGUUCUGGCAUCGAUGAAGAACGCAGCGAAAUGCGAUAAGUAAUGCGAAUUGCAGAAUUCCAGUGAGUCAUCGAAUCUUUGAACGCAUAUUGCGCCCUUUGGUAUUCCGAAGGGCAUGCCUGUUCGAGCGUCAUUAUCACCCCUCAAGCCCCCCGCUUGGUGUUGGACGGUUUGGUUUUGGCGACAAGACCCCUCCUAAAGCUAAUGACGGCGGCCUGUGCGACCCCCGGUACACUGAGCUUCUUAACUGAGCACGUACUGGUUCCAGGGUCAACAGGGCCCGGUCUUC
rnacentral:rRNA from 1 species